GAAAUGCGAUAAGUAAUGUGAAUUGCAGAAUUCAGUGAAUCAUCGAAUCUUUGAACGCACCUUGCGCUCCUUGGUAUUCCUUGGAGCAUGCCUGUUUGAGUAUCAUGAAAUCUUCAAAGUAAAUCUUUUGUUAACUCAAUUGGUUUCUACUUUGGUAUUGGAGGUCUUUGCAGCUUCACACCUGCUCCUCUUUGUUCAUUAGCUGGAUCUCAGUGUUAUGCUUGGUUCCACUCGGCGUGAUAAGUUAUCUAUCGCUGAGGACACUGUAAAAGGUGGCCAAGGUAAAUGCAGAUGAACCGCUUCUAAUAGUCCAUUGACUUGGACAAUACUUUUAUGAUCUGAUCUCAAAUCAGGUAGGACUACCCCUGAACUUAAGC
rnacentral:misc_RNA from 1 species